AAAUAGCAAUCAGGUGUUGGUCUAAUAGAAAUAUUUACCCAAGGUUAGCCAAGUCUGUUGAUGCAGAAUGUCUACAGUGCCUGCUAGUCUGCUCUAUUUGUCCAGUUUGGACUGGAAUUUUCCUUUUUCAGCAGCUUAGAUCCUCUGCAGCAUUCAGAGAUUAAUUUUCAUGCCCUCCCAGCCUCUGACCAGGUGUUACCUUGCUCCUCUUGAUUGAAAUCCUGCCUGGGUUGAGCUCAGUGCAUCUCCCACCCUCUGUGGAGUUACCUGCUGUUUCUACAUUUGAAGCUCAUCAGUUUGCUCCAGUUCAGUGGCCUCUGUGGGUGAGCAUCUACAGCAGAGGCCUUUGUUGUGAUAUCCAGGCAUCUCCUCUUGCCAGCCAUGGAGUGUUUGGGUUAGAAGCAAUCCUGGCUACUGGAAAUGAGUGUGAGCUGGAAUGCUUCCAGGAAAGAUCCUUCACAUCCUGCAUUGUGCCCUGUCUGGAAGGAAGCAUUUUGUGUGAAGACCUCAAAAUUUAUCAGGAUCCAGAUGGAAUUUGGGGAAGGAAGGUUCCAUGGAGAAGAACAAAAGGAUGGCUGAAUAAUUCAAAGUGAAGCUCUAGCGGUGGGUCUGUCUCCAGCUCUGCCAUUUUUCACCAUGCUGUGUAUAAAUGACUGUCUGCUCAGCCCUAGUCUUAGAUGUUGACCUUCCUGUACUGACAAAGAGAUUCCUUACUCCUCUGACAGUAACCUUUUCAAUGUGAUCGCUUCUGUGCCAUACAGUAUUAAUGGAGCCACAAUGAAUAAUAAAUGCUUUUCAACACA